CCCCGGUACACAUCGUGCACAUCAAUGAGCUUGCAACUCACUAUGAACUUCACUACAGAGCCGAU
rnacentral:tRNA from 1 species